AGAUCCAUUUCCCAGCUUCUUCUCCCAGCUUGUACUCUGAGUCCUUGUCCCACAGACUUCAAGUGUGACCCAAAGAUCAGCAGCAUCUGCACCCCUGGAGCUUGUUUGAAAUAUGGCAGCCGAGGGUCCACCUCCAUCCUUCUGAGUCAGUAUCUAUGCUUGAAUAGGGGUCAUUCAAAAUACACAGGUGCUUCGCUGAAUUCUUCUGCAGCUCUCAGGUCAUUGAGAUCACUGGACGGAGCCUGGCUUUGGAAAAUGCUAAGGGAGACCUUUCUCUAAGGAGAGCCCCAGAAAACACAUUUUCCCUCCAUUGUUCCAAAAGAGAAGAAGGGGGAAAGAGCUGGAAGGCCUGUGUGCUGAAGGGCAGAGGGAUCCACCAUAGGUAAAACUGGUAAAUGUUUAUGGCUAAAAACAGAGGAGAAAACAAGCGAUUGGCCCUCAUGCCUGAGACCUCACUGAGGAUACUAAAGUGCCAGCUGCUUUCAAUAUUUUGUAAAGAUUAAAAAGAAAGAAGAAAAUCUUACUGUUUUGUUAACAUAUAUCAUCUCUUCUAAUCUUCCCUGGAUAAUACCCCUCCCUGUUAACUUUUCUUCAGAACUGGGGACUACAGUUUGAAAUUGAACUAACUUGCGCCACAACACACAUUUCUUAAAACAAUGAUGCUUGGGAUCACUUUCCUUUUAAAAUACCACACAGUUCCGGGGUGUUUUCACCAGCCCGCUGCCUUCAGUGGAUAAAGAGGACCUGGGAGAUCCAACCCGGUGGUUACAGAAAGACCCUAACUGAGUCACGACACUUGGAGUCGGAGUCACGACACUUGUUACAUACCAAAAAGAGAAGUGUGGAACCACAGCACUGCUGGCCUUCAUUUCUACUCUUCCCUUGGUAGACAUCCCAUCCCACAGCCUGGAUGAUGCUUGAGGCAGUGUCCAGAUGAGAGCCACACAUAGGGGAAAGGUCACUUCUUCUAAGAUAAACAUCCCUCCUUCAGCCCCAGGCUCUUCUUCCAGCUAAUUGGUCAGAACCGAGUCACGUGGUUGCCUCUACUAUUUGAACUAGGCUUACCAUUAGCUGGCCUAAUAGAGUCAAGAUUGACUGUAGCAGCUAGGGUGUGUGUGUGUGUGUGUGUGUGUGUGUGUGUGUAACUUCCAAAUGAGCCAAAGCAGUUUAGCUGUCUCACAAGUCUGGUUGAUUUUCUCAGCCUUCUGUGGUCUUUGAGCUCUUUGACAGCUAUGUAGAGACCUCGUUAAACUGUAGUAAAUUUUUGUGUACCCAAAAUCAGGGUACACGAGGAUGCAAUGGGUGAUUGUUUUGUAUGGCUUAGUUGUGUAUCUAUUUGUAAAUUCAGCUCUUUGGUCCUUAUCAGCCUGUGUGGUUAUUUAAAUCUCCCACAUGGGUUAUAAUAGCUUAUUAAUUCCCUUACUAAUCACUGUGUUAAAUAAAGCCUUUGACAAGU